rnacentral:rRNA from 1 species
UAAGGAAUAUUGGUCAAUGGACGCAAGUCUGAACCAGCCAUGCCGCGUGAAGGAUGAAGGUCCUCUGGAUUGUAAACUUCUUUUAUCUGGGACGAAAACGGGAUUUUUAUCUCAAUUGACGGUACCAGAGGAAUAAGCACCGGCUAACUCCGUGCCAGCAGCCGCGGUAAUACGGAGGGUGCGAGCGUUAUCCGGAUUUACUGGGUUUCAAGGGUGCGUAGGUGGGCUUAUAAGUCAGUGGUGAAAUCUCCGAGCUUAACUUGGAAACUGCCGUUGAUACUAUAGGUCUUGAAUUAUCUGGAGGUAAGCGGAAUAUGUCAUGUAGCGGUGAAAUGCUUAGAUAUGACAUAGAACACCAAUUGCGAAGGCAGCUUACUACAUAUAAAUUGACGCUGAGGCACGAAAGCGUGGGGAACAAACA